UUAUGGAUAUUUUUUGAAUUCUUUUACGAUUUCUUAUUAUUUCUUUUGUAAUUUUUUUAAGGUUUCUUUUAAAUUUGAUUAAAGCUUUCUUAACAUUGUUAAAGAUUAAUUAGAGUUUAUUUAAUAUUCUAUUAGAGUUAAGAUUUUGUUGUUGUAAUUUCCAUUCUACCUUCUUCAAUUAAGUACCCAAUGCAUUCUUGAGUAAGACUUCACAUAAUAUAAUAGUAUUUACAUUGGCAAGUGAUCUAAAUAUAUAUUAUUUCUAAAAAAAAUAUAUUUUGAACUUAUAAGCUCAAGUCUUUGUAAUACAUAGAUAUACACCAUAUCAAGCAAAGCCAUCACCAUUGCAUUAUCUUUUUGGUGGUUGUCU
rnacentral:lncRNA from 1 species